rnacentral:rRNA from 1 species
UGGGGAAUCUUGGACAAUGGGCGCAAGCCUGAUCCAGCCAUGCCGCGUGAUCGAUGAAGGCCUUAGGGUUGUAAAGAUCUUUCAGCUGGGAAGAUAAUGACGGUACCAGCAGAAGAAGCCCCGGCUAACUCCGUGCCAGCAGCCGCGGUAAUACGGAGGGGGCUAGCGUUGUUCGGAAUUACUGGGCGUAAAGCGCACGUAGGCGGAUUAGUAAGUUAGAGGUGAAAGCCCAGGGCUCAACCCUGGAACUGCCUUUGAUACUGCUAGUCUAGAGAUCGAGAGAGGUGAGUGGAAUUCCGAGUGUAGAGGUGAAAUUCGUAGAUAUUCGGAGGAACACCAGUGGCGAAGGCGGCUCACUGGCUCGAUACUGACGCUGAGGUGCGAAAGCGUGGGGAGCAAACAGG